CGCAGAAAGGGAGAAACUGAGCCUGGAAGGCCGAGACAGCUGUUCAAGGUCAAAGAGCAAGUGCAGAAGAAGCGAGUUCACCCAGGGAAGGCAUAUGAGGUCCCAGGCACUGAAACAGGCACUUUGACUUUACUUGAUUUAAUUCUCAUUCAAGGAUGAUUUCCAUUUAACUCAGGAAGAAAGCAAUUGAUGUUGUCUCUCUCUCACAUACUUGGAAGGGCAAAGAUGGUCUGAUCUGAUUUGUCUGGGACAAAAGGAAACUCACUCCAAAAAAGUUGCUAAGGGUCUCAGAGAUGCAAUAAGCCUGCAAAUUGGCCUCAUGCCUUUCUCCUUUACAUCGAGCCUUUCUGCUCUAUAUAUUCACCAACCCCACAGACCUUCACCCUCAAGGAAGCAGCACUAGUAAGUGGUAGCAUCUCUAAAUUGCAAACACACACAGAGGAUUUGCAUUCUAACCUAGCACACUAAAUGGGUAGCCUGACACAUCCUAGAUCACCCAUCUUGAAGACACCCAAGACCACGUAAAUACUCCCAGCUUCAUACCAUAUUACACCUCAUUCUAGCAGCAUCUGUGCUUGCUUCUGAGCUUCUGUGUGUUUCUUUCUGCCUAAUAAAAUCUGACUCUGCCUCUCACUGAUGUGUCCUGCAAUUAUUUUCUGUGAUGUAAGACAGCAAACCUACAACCUACCCGAAGAUUAGGGUGAAUUGAGGUCCCCAUCUCUUUGAGGUCUUCCUUGGAUCCCAUCCAGUGACAUCCUGAAUAUCAGUUCCACUCGCUCUUGAUGCCAGGAGAAA
rnacentral:lncRNA from 1 species